GGGCAGGUGGCGAAAUGGCAGACGCGCCAGGCUUAGGACCUGGUCCCGCAAGGGGUGGGAGUUCAAGUCUCCCCCUGCCCA
rnacentral:tRNA from 1 species